AUCGCUUCUCGGCCUUUUGGCUGAGAUCAAGUGUAGGAAAUGCAGCCUUGCUAGAGAGUGUGAACACGUCUUGGGGAUUAUUUUGUAUGUUUAUUUCAUAAAUUAAUUUUAUUUUAUGCACACGUGAGCGUCUGUAUGUUGUUUAUGGGCGCUAUAUGCAUCAUCCAGUGUGCAUAGUGGCCAGA